AAUAAUGCCAUCGACCACAGCCAGAUAGAACUGAAGAAUUGCCUUGAAAGAAAAGGCAGCUGCAAUGUAUUGGAUAUUCAGCUAAUAUUUCCCAAAUUAGCUAAAGACAGAUACUAUUUGAAAUCAUGGGCUGAGCGCGGUGGCUCACGCCCAUAAUCCCAGCACUUUGGGAGGCUGAGGCAGACGGAUCACCUGAGGUUGCGAGUUUGAGACCAGCCUGACCAACAUAGAGAAACCCUGUCACUACUAAAAGUACAAAAUCAGCCGGCAGUGGUGGCACAUGCCUGUAAUCCCAGCUAGUCAGGAGUCUGAGGCAGGAGAAUCGCUUGAACCGGGGAGGAGGAUGUUGCGGUGAACAGAGAUCACGCCCUUGCACUCCAGCCUGGGCAACAAGAGUGAAACUCCGUCUCAAACAACAACAACAGCGAAAGAAAUCGUGAUACAUGAUAAAACAUUUAUAACAUCUCACUGGUUGAAGUCAAUUUUUUAAAAAUGUAAAUAUACACUUUGACUAACUUUGGAUAUGGAUUAUUUUAAUUUGACUGAUAAAAUGAAGCCUUAAGCUACAAGACAAAUUCUUUUUACACAAGUUUUUUGGAAAGUAAUGACUGAGAAAAAUACACGGUUUACCAAUGAUCUUAUGAAGUUUUAGAACAGUGCUACUCUUUCAAGAUAUUUGGUAUUUACUGAAGGAGUAGCUUCUCAUAAGUACAUAUUUCUGAUGACCAAUUAUCUUUGUUAGCCCAUAUAUUAAUUCGUGUAUUUAUAGUUAACAAUAUCAAACAAUAUUUUCAAGCAAUCUCCUAUGUCUCAUACUUUUAAAUUCAUAUUGUAGCAAGUUAAAAACAUAAUGUAUACUUCCGUUGUUAAUUAAAA
rnacentral:lncRNA from 1 species